CAAACGUGUGCACGCCGUGACUUGUACAACAUGCACGCGAACAGAUCGCAAACCACUCGUGAUCACUUUUACGUCCACAGUG